UACGGGGGGGGCAAGCGUUGUUCGGAAUUACUGGGCGUAAAGGGCGCGUAGGCGGCCAUCUAAGUCAGACGUGAAAUCCCUCGGCUCAACCGAGGAACUGCGUCUGAUACUGGAAGGCUUGAAUCCGGGAGAGGGAUGUGGAAUUCCAGGUGUAGCGGUGAAAUGCGUAGAUAUCGUAAGGAAGACCAGUGGCGAAGGCGGG
rnacentral:rRNA from 1 species